AAUCAACGCUGGCGGCGUGCCUCAGACAUGCAAGUCGAACGAUUAAAGCUCUCUUCGGAGAGUGUAUAGAGUGGCGCACGGGUGAGUAACACGUAAGUAAUCUACCCUCGAGUGGGGAAUAACAACCGGAAACGGUUGCUAAUACCGCAUAAUGCAGCGGCACCGCAAGGUGACAGUUGUUAAAGAUUUAUCGCUUGAGGAGGAGCUUGCGGCAGAUUAGCUAGUUGGUAGGGUAACGGCUUGCCAAGGCUACGAUCUGUAACCGGUCUAAGAGGACGGUCGGUCACACUGACACUGAAUAACGGGUCAGACUCCUACGGGAGGCAGCAGUCGGGAAUUUUGGGCAAUGGGCGAAAGCCUGACCCAGCAACGCCGCGUGAAGGAUGAAGUAUUUCGGUAUGUAAACUUCGAAAGAAUAGGAAGAAUUAAUGACGGUACUAUUUAUAAGGUCCGGCUAACUACGUG
rnacentral:rRNA from 1 species